rnacentral:lncRNA from 1 species
GAUUUGAUUACUUCAAUCCUGGCUGUUGAGUGAGCUUAUAUGUAUAAGGUCGCUCUCAACCAAACUUCUAUUUUUCAUUUUGUCUUUUCUGAUGCUGGAACCGUGCCAAAAAAUCACCCUAGUGUCUGAGGACUGUUCUUUCAUCUUUUUCAAGUGUUGCUGUCUUUUCUUGAGUUCUUCCUCUAGUCUUUGUUUCCUUGAUAGCUAGGACUUUUUCUUCUCAGGAUGGUC